rnacentral:rRNA from 1 species
AACGUAGGAGACAAACGUUAUCCGGAGUUACUGGGCGUAAAGGGCGCGUAGGCGGCUUUUCAAGCGUGCGGUGAAAGCUCGGGGCUUAACUCCGAGUCUGCCGUGCGAACUGGGAGGCUUGAGUCUGGUAGAGGUCGAUGGAAUUCCGGGUGUAGCGGUGGAAUGCGUAGAGAUCCGGAAGAACACCGGUGGCGAAGGCGGUCGACUGGGCCAGUACUGACGCUGAGGCGCGACAGCGUGGGGAGCAAACAGG